rnacentral:tRNA from 11 species
GCCCAGAUGGCGGAAUUGGUAGACGCACUAGGUUCAGGUCCUAGCGCCGGCAACGGUGUGGAGGUUCGAGUCCUCUUCUGGGCACCA